rfam:Ciona savignyi cont_5634, whole genome shotgun sequence.
CGUGGCCGAGUGGUUAGGCGUUGGACUCAAAAUCUAAUGGGAUAUUCCCGCGCAGAUUCGAAUCCUGUUG